rnacentral:piRNA from 1 species
UGUGGGUUGCUGAUGGUCCAUGCUGUCAUUC